GCCAAGACACUGACCAGGUAAAGACACUGAGAAGGAAUGACAUUUACCUGGGGAACUAGGAAAGCACAUAUCUGGGCAUGGACCAGGCAAGAAUUAGGUUGGAGUGUUUCCAGAAUCGCACAAGAACUGUUCUGAGGAUGGAGGAUUACAGCGUUGCAAGCUAGUGGUCCAUUGGCACGAAGCCCAGCCACAUUCGGCUGCACGCCACAGGUUCUGCUAUACAUCUUGGAGAAGAUCUUGCACACAGGACACAGAUGCAUAUAUGAAAAGAAUGGAUGCUAAAAUUACAGCCACUUUUGGAUACUGUGCAUCUUGGUGGGGUCUGGUGGAAACAUUUGCUGUUCUGCACGAUGC